UAUCUGGUUGAUCCUGCCAGUAGUCAUAUGCUUGUCUCAAAGAUUAAGCCAUGCAUGUCUAAGUAUAAGCCAAUUUUAUACAGUGAAACUGCGAAUGGCUCAUUAAAUCAGUUAUCGUUUAUUUGAUAGUUCCUUUACUACAUGGUAUAACUGUGGUAAUUCUAGAGCUAAUACAUGCUUAAAAUCUCGACCCUUUGGAAGAGAUGUAUUUAUUAGAUAAAAAAUCAAUGUCUUCGGACUCUUUGAUGAUUCAUAAUAACUUUUCGAAUCGCAUGGCCUUGUGCUGGCGAAUGGUUCAUUCAAAUUUCUGCCCUAUCC
rnacentral:ncRNA from 1 species